UUGCGCCCUGUCUGUCUUGUUGUGUACAUGUCAUGAGGAGGGGGACUCAGAAAGGGAGAGCAAGAGACAUAAAGAGAAUUGAACAGAUAAUUACUACAAUAUUUAAAGGGGGCUCUCCCCCAGGGAUUCUAAUGUUAACUUUAAUCAGCCUUCUCUGAUGCCAAGUCUGAGAGCGUCCCUCACUGCUUUCUUGAGUCAUCGAUGUUACGAGCCUACACGGAGGCGGCAACUGGCAGAGUCCAUUUACCUUCUGGUCCGCACACCUUUGGGAUGCGGUGGGGAAACCAGAUCACCCAGAGGAAGCCCAUGCAGUUACAGGGAGAGUCAAACCGAGUCUGGUGUCACGUGCAGACUGAGUUCCAGGUGGAAUGGAGAACUUGCAGCACAGAGAUUCAGGUAACACACAGAUCAUAAAAUGGACAUAAAUUAUUUGAAGUGAAGGAAAAAAAACCUGAAAAACAAGAACAACAGGAAUGCUGCAGAUGCUGGAAAUUCAAGCAACAUACAUCAAAGUUGCUGGUGAACGCAGCAGGCCAAGCAGCAUCUGUAGGAAGAGGUGCAGUCGACGUUUCAGGCCGAGACCCUUCGUCAGGACUAACUGAAGGAAGAACCCAGUUACCAGUUGGGAAUCCCUGGCCCUGGACAGUCCAAUGAAGAGGCAUCAGGAAACUUGAGUCCUCCAGAAGCAGGAGAUGGAGAACCCACCCAACCUCUCCACCUGAUGCAGAGCUGACAGGUCCCUCAUCUCUGAAUAAGAAGCAAAUCAGCUCAUCCUCUACCUCCAAGGACUGCCCAAAAGAAGAAAACAGACCGUAACUUCUUGGUCACUGAUACUGCCAAAAGUGAUGAGUGUAUCUACUAUUCUCUGGUUUCUUCUCAGAUUGACAGCAACAUUAGUUUUUUCGACUUUUGUUGACGGACCUUUCAGUUUUAAGACUGCUUCUUUAAAGACUGUUAUUGAUUCUAACUUUCUAACUGGCUGCAUCACCAUCUGGCAUGGGGGUGUGACACUGCACAGGAUCAAAAUAAGCUGCACAAAGUUGUAAACUCAGUCAGCUCCAUCCCGGGCACUGGCUUCCUCAGCAUUCAGGACACCUUCAAGGAGCAAUGCCUCAAAAAGGAGUCAUCCAACAUUAAGGCUCCCCAUCACCCAGGACAUGCCCUCUUCUCAUUGCUACCAUCAGGAAGGAGGUAUAGGAGCCUGAAGGCACACUCUCAACGAUUCAGAAACAGAUACUUCCCCUCUACCAUUUGAUUUCUGAAUGGACAAUGAACCCAUGAACACUACCUCACUACUUAUUAAAUUUAACUAUUUUACAUAUAUACUCAUUGUAAUUCACAGUUUUUAUUAUUAAGCAUUAUUAAACAACAGAUUUCAUGACCUAUGCCAGUGAUAUUAAACCUGAU